rnacentral:tRNA from 1 species
GCGUGAGUGGCGAAAUGGGCAUCCGCGCAGGCUUUAGAUGCCUGUUCCGAAAGGAGUGAGAGUUCGAGUCUCUCCUCACGCA